rnacentral:rRNA from 1 species
UACGUAGGCACCAAGCGUUGUCCGGAUUUAUUGGGCGUAAAGAGCUCGUAGGCGGUCUGUCGCGUCGGUCGUGAAAACUUGGGGCUUAACCCUGAGCUUGCGGUCGAUACGGGCAUGACUGGAGUUCGGCAGGGGAGACUGGAAUUCCUGGUGUAGCGGUGAAAUGCGCAGAUAUCAGGAGGAACACCGGUGGCGAAGGCGGGUCUCUGGGCCGAUACUGACGCUGAGGAGCGAAAGCGUGGGGAGCGAACAGG